rnacentral:rRNA from 1 species
AACGUAGGUGGCGAGCGUUAUCCGGAUUUACUGGGCGUAAAGCGUGUGCAGGCGGGAUAACAAGUGGUGUAUGAAAUCGCUCGGCUAAACCGGGCGGGGUUAUGCCAGACUGUUAUUCUAGAGUGCGAGAGAGGGGCGUGGAAUUCCGGGUGUAGUGGUGAAAUGCGUAGAGAUCCGGAGGAACCCCAGAGGCGAAGGCGGCGCCC